rnacentral:misc_RNA from 1 species
AACGCACAUUGCGCCCUCUGGCAUUCCGGAGGGCAUGCCUGUCCGAGCGUCAUUUCUGCCCUCCAGCACGGCUGGGUGUUGGGCGCUGUCCCCCCGGGGACACGCCCCAAAGGCAGUGGCGACGCCGCGUCGAGUCCUCGAGCGUAUGGAGCUUUGGUCACCUGCUCGGGAGGGAUUCGCCGGCUUCGGUCUUCCCCGAUGGGCCCUGUACAGGGCCGAUCUUUUCGGUUGACCUCGGAUCAGGUAGGGCUACCCGCUGAACUUAA